UACGUAGGGUGCGAGCGUUAAUCGGAAUUACUGGGCGUAAAGCGUGCGCAGGCGGUUCGUUGUGUCGGUGGUGAAAGCCCCGGGCUUAACCUGGGAAUGGCCAUGGAAACUGGCGAACUGGAGUGUGGCAGAGGGGGGUGGAAUUCCGUGUGUAGCAGUGAAAUGCGUAGAGAUGCGGAGGAACACCGGUGGCGAAGGCGGCGCUCUGGACCGAGACUGACGCUGAGGCGCGAAAGCGUGGGGAGCAAACAGG
rnacentral:rRNA from 1 species